GUCAUCCCUUCGGGGGUGCCGAGGAAAGUCCGGGCUCCAUAGGGCAAGGUGCCAGGUAACGCCUGGGCGGCGCAAGCCGACGGAAAGUGCAACAGAAAGAUACCGCCUACGUCUUCUUCGGAAGGCCGGUAAGGGUGAAAUGGUGCGGUAAGAGCGCACCGCGAGUCUGGCAACAGACCGGCACGGCAAACCCCACCUGGAGCAAGACCAAAUAGGGAUCCUUUGGCGCGGCCCGCGUUGGAUCCGGGUAGG
rnacentral:RNase_P_RNA from 1 species